rnacentral:rRNA from 1 species
CAGUCGCCGCGGGAACACGAAGGGGGCUAGCGUUGCUCGGAAUCACUGGGCGUAAAGGGUGCGUAGGCGGGUCUUUAAGUCAGGGGUGAAAUCCUGGAGCUCAACUCCAGAACUGCCUUUGAUACUGAAGAUCUUGAGUUCGGGAGAGGUGAGUGGAACUGCGAGUGUAGAGGUGAAAUUCGUAGAUAUUCGCAAGAACACCAGUGGCGAUGGCGGCUCACUGGCCCGAUACUGACGCUGAGGCACGAAAGCGUGGGGAGCAAACAGGAUUAGAUACCCCUGUAGUCCCUGUCUCUUAUAC